AUGGGAAUGAUUCAGAAGCAAGGAAAUUGGGUUUCUAAAGUGAAAAAAUAUGAAGAAGUCCAUCUAAGAAAAAAGAAAAUUCGAAGCAACAGGAAAAGGAAAUAAAUUAGAUGGUAUAAUCGUAAAAAAAUUAUUUAUCUUUGUCUAUAUAACAAAGUUCGGCAAACGAUACACCUUUCAGUCAAUUUUAGGGAACGUCCACCCAGUGUUGUUCCCCUUGCCUUGUCGUCUAGCAUGUAAAAUGUAUCUCUUGCCGAGCUCUGCCACAUAAUACUAUUGUCAUUUCAAGAUAUAUAAGGUGUUUUAUAUAGAGGUUAUGUAAUACACAUUUUUGGUAUACCCAGAUAGACAAACGAACCUACAUUUGAUAACAAUUAUACUGAUAUUAAAUCACACAAUGCAUGGAUGUAAACGUUACAUCCCUUAUGAGUUAGUUACGUGCCAGUCAUAGAUGCAACAUAUAAUGAAACAAUAGAUAUACAAAAAAAACUAUCAGAAUUUAAUUAAUAUUUAAAAUAGCAUUUAGUCAAUUUAUUGUUACAUGAAAAUGAAAAAAACAUUUCAUUCCAGCAUGUUGUCUAUUUAAUAAUUAAUUCCAACAGGCAGAAUCAUCUCCAUAAAUAUAAUAGAUUAUAGUUCUACGAUUCAAUUGCGGUAUAUAAUGACAAUCGUGCGUCUAUGUACAUUUUUUUAGAUACUUGAAUCAUAUUGUAUGUUUCAACUUAAAACACAAGUUAUACAGGAUGAUUGAAAACAACCUGAUGUCCUUGGAAAUACAUAAUUCAGACUAGAUUCUGAAACGUACAAAACGUUGUCCAAACGUUGUCUAGUUUUUAUAUGAUAAACAGUAAGUGUAUUUAGUUUGCAUAUUAUAGUACAGAUACAGGAGAUAGGCAGUGGCGGCGCAACUCAGACAUGGGUGUUUAUGUCUGUCAGCUGUAGAAUCUGACCAUGAGUUGCAUUGUCAAUGUCUAUCGCCUGUAAAAAGCAAAGUGGUUUUUUUCAUUAUAAAAAAAACGGUUGUAGAUAUAAUGUUGUAAGAGGAAAAGUCGUCUCAAAAUAGUCAGGAUUACAUAUCUUCAAAAACAAGAAGUUGUUUCCAAUCAUCUACUUAUAUUUUUCUUAUAGAAAUGUAAUACCGACUAUGAUCAAUUGGUCAGUAAUAAAUGUCUAUCAGGGUUAAUUGUAAUGUAAUAAAGUUUUAGUAGUAAAUAAUACUUACAUAAUGCAAUCGAGCAGCAAGAUUUUCAGAUAGUGUCUUAUUAAAUUCGUUUAAUCUUUCCACAGUAAAAAUCGGCAAACCCAAAUCUAUCUCUUUUCCUUAUACUUGGUUUAAAUUUGAAUCUAAGAGUAUUUGUCUCAUGGAUAUCACUGUACGCAAAAUCAUUUUAAUGUCGUUCCGACAAACUUCUAUAUGGAAAACAUUUGCAAUAUAAAUAAUAAGUUUGCAAUUUUAAGGAACUAAUUCUACAAUUUCUAUUAGUAAAUAAUAAAAUUGUUAAUACACAAUAAUUAUAUUUGCAAACAUAAUAAUUCAUAUAUUUUGUGAUAUUGUAAUAAAUAAGUAUAAUUAAAGAGCGAAAAUGUAAACGGAUGAAAAUGUCAAAUAUACAUCAUUGUCCACGUGAACACUACUCGAAGUAUUAUAGCAAAUUGUAUUAUGGUAAAAAGAAAUACUAUUGUUUCAAUACUUUCUUCUUUUUCA